rnacentral:misc_RNA from 1 species
ACUUCAUCUUUCCCAAGUUCAAAAUCGUCAAUAAUUUCAGGGGAAUCCACUUGAUCCACGAUUAUAUCAUCUUCAACGGUUCCGAUCAUGGUCAUCUUGAGAGAUGAUUUGAGGGGAAGCUGAGAGAGCAAAAGCGAAUCAUCGGCUAGUUUGGAUCCGACUUUGGGAUAAAGAAGCUUUUGGCGCUUGGGCAAGACGUUAGUAAGCUCGCAGAUUCGACGCUUGAGCUCAGCUACAGAGUCAUCGCCGCACACUCGUACAGUGUAUUCCUUUCCGCUCCAUUUCACCGUCAAUGUUAUCUCUUCCUCUGAAGGAGACGAGGUAGACGCUGAGGCAGCCAUUGUUGAGUUCACAACUCAGAAGAAGCUUUCUUUCUUUCUUG